AUUUAAACAAAUAGGAUUCUACUACAGAAUCUAAACUAUAUUGGCUAAACAAAAAAAAAUUAGUGUAAAUAUGGGUUAAUUUUAGGCCCAACUGAAACCCGUUCCAAGUUAACCCUUCCUUCAGAACUCUGUCUUCUCUGUGUUCCCGCAGAAAAACGUGGGAAGCUGAUUCCUCCAUUUUCUUCAACAAAGAAAGGUUUUCAACCGUUGUAUUUGAAGAUGUUACAGAAUGUUCAACACCAACUUUUGCAAUCGCCGGCACGGCUAGGCCUGCCAACUCCCAGUUCACCUUCUCUACAAAACACAGUUGCUCCUCCUAAGUUCUCCUCACAAGUGUUGCAACCCAAUCAACAGGCAAAUAUAUUAACUACCACUACCACCUCAUCAACGCUCCUUCCUCUUCUCCCACCUCUCUCUAGAGCUCAGUCUCUUCUCAUUCAAAUGGCAUCUCUUGCUUCAAGGCUCUUUGAAGUCUCACCUAACCGGUCCCAUUGGCUUAGUGCUUUUCGUGGCUCUUUCCCUUCAUUUCUGGCUCCUGCAGCACCAAUCCCACAAGAUUCCUGCCCAUCAUCCUCAAAAGAAAUCCUCUCAGGGUUUACUUCUCUUCAGACACAACUGUUUGAAGCAGUUGCAGAACUACAAGAAAUUCUUGAUCUUCAAGAUGAGAAGCAAAAAGUCACCCGUGAAAUUAAGUCCAAUGAUUCUGCAAUUCUUGCCUUUGCCAACAAACUCAAAGGAGCUGAGCGUGUUCUUGACAAUCUUGUUGAUGAUUACUCUGACUAUCGCCGUCCCAAACGGGCCAAGUUGGAUAACGCUACCGAAGAAUCUUCAGUAACAUCUGUGGCAACUCAGUUAAAAUUAUCUGACAUAUUGUCAUAUGCUCAUAGGAUAAGUUACACUACUUUUGCACCACCUGAAUUUGGUGGAGGACAGGCUCCGCUCCGGGGAGCACUCCCACCGGCUCCACAGGAUGAGCAAUUGCGUGCAUCUCAGUUAUAUAUUUUUGCUGAUCUUGAUGUUGGUUUACCUAAAACAGAUGAAGGCAAAGAGAAUAUUUUGGAGCCACUCAUUGAACCUCUGGCAGAAAGUAACCUACUUGCCAAUCUUUCAUCAAUUCAGAGCCUCGUCCCUCCAACUAUUGUAGUGCCAUCUGGUUGGAAACCUGGUAUGCCUGUUGAGUUGCCCACUGAUCUCCCUCUUCCUCCACUUGGGUGGAAGCCUGGCGAUCCAAUUGCUCUUCCUCCAGUGGAUUCUCAUCCACUUCAAAAGGUCGAGGAGGCACCAGCACGACCAGUACCUCUUCCAGGACUUUCAAGAAUGCCCGAACCAAUACAAGUUCGACAUGUGCAGCUUGAUAUUGAUGAUGAUAGUAGCGAUUAUAGUUCUGAUGAGGCAAGCUCUGAUAGUGAAGAUUGAUGUGGUUAGCUGUUUUGAGUAGCUAAUAAAGGUUCAGCAUCUGCAGCUUGACACUACUUCUCCUAGCAAAAAGCAGUGGUUUCUCUUUUUACCUCACUAUUGGAUGACUUCUCUUUACAACAGGACCCUUUCCUGAGGAAGGCACAAGUUUUUGGUGAAGUAGGGGAUGGACUCUAUCUACUCAAGCCUACUAAAAUAGAGUCAAGUCAAGUCAAAGAAGUCUUUUCUAUUCAAAAAAGGAGGAAAUUCCACAGUUCCUGUUCCUAGGGAAGUAGUUUCAAAGGUAGUAGCUACCAAAAUUGUUCCUAGUUCUGUUUUAGUGUCCAAUACAAAAUGUAAUACUUCCUCUGUUGGUGUGCAUGCAAAUACUAUUUCUAAUGUAAGAUUGUGGCACAUCAGACUGGGGCACCUACCCUUUCCAGCAAUGAAAAACUUAAGUUUCAUUCAUUUUCCUUCUUGCUCAAAUUAUUUGUGUCCUAUAUGUCCUCAAGCUAGACAAAGUAGACUACCUUUUCCAUUGAGUUUCAUCAAAACACAAAGAAUAUUUGAAUUAAUCCACAUUGACACUUGGGGUCCCUUUAAGGAAGCUACUUACAAUGAUUAUUCUUAUUUUUUAACCAUAGUGGAUGACUAUAGCAGGGGGACAUGGACUUUUCUCCUGAAAACUAAAUCUAAUGCAUUUCCAGUUCUCAGAGAUUUCUUAUUAAUGGUGGAAAGACAAUUUGAAGUAAAAGUUAAAAGGAUAAGGUCAGAUAAUGCCUUAGAACUUGGAAAAGGAUCACUAGAGGCUGCUUAUCUCAAAUCAACAGGGAUCAUUCAUGAGACAUCUUGUGUAGCUACACCUCAACAAAAUGGAAUUGUUGAGAGGAAACAUAGACAUCUCUUGGAAAUAGCAAGAGGGUUAUAUUUCCAGUCUAAAGUUCCUAUUCAAUACUGGGGUGAGUGUAUACUCACUGCCACUUAUCUCAUUAACAGACUGCCUACUAAGGUCUUGAAGAACAAAUCCCCAUAUCAAGUUCUUUUCAGAAAAUCACCAUCCUACAACAAUUUUAAGUGUUUUGGAUGUUUGUGUUUUGUU